UACGGAGGGUGCAAGCGUUAAUCGGGAUUACUGGGCGUAAAGCGCGCGUAGGCGGUUUUUUAAGUCGGAUGUGAAAGCCCCGGGCUCAACCUGGGAACUGCAUCCGAUACUGGAAGACUAGAAUGCGGGAGAGGGAGGUAGAAUUCCAUGUGUAGCAGUGAAAUGCGUAGAUAUAUGGAGGAAUACCAGUGGCGAAGGCGGCCUCCUGGCUCGACAUUGACGCUGAGGUGCGAAAGCGUGGGGAGCAAACGGG
rnacentral:rRNA from 1 species